GCGCUGUUGGAAUGUUGCUACAUAGAAAUGGAAAGUUCAAAAUUGGGAAGCUGAAAUCAUCUCUUUUGUCGGAAAUUUUUUCAACCGACCCUCAUUGUCAAUUUCUAGAUGAAAGUUAAGAUAUGAGGCAGACUUAACUGUAUCUGUUAAUCCUUUAUAUCUAGUUUUGAGCAAUUAAGUUUCAGAUUUUCGAACAUAGCGCCACUAAAAUACUUACGCAAAAGAUGCGCCUGUUUCUCUUCUAUAUGACUUAUUAAAGUCAUACCCCAUGACAACCCUCAUUCGACCCCCCUAUUUUUUACCAUUUUUUUUUCAAAUUUUGGGCUCUAGUUUCAGAUUUUUGAACAUAGCGCCCUUCGAUACCUUGCGCAAAAGAAGCGCCUGUUUCUCCUCUACAAGACCUAUAUAUAGUCAUACCCCGUGACACCCCUCAUUAUUUUUCUCUAGGAGCCGUGGAAUAGGUCGACCCCCUAUUUUUGGACCAUUUUUUUCAAAUUUUGGGCUCUAGUUUCAGAUUUUUGAACAUAGCGCCCUUCGAUACCUUGCGCAAAAGAAGCGCCUGUUUCUCCUCUACAAGACCUAUAUAGUCAUACCCGUGACACCCCUCAUUAUUUUUCUCUAGGAGCCGUGGAAUAGGUCGACCCCCUAUUUUUGGACCAUUUUUUUUCAAAUUUUGGGCUCUAGUUUCAGAUUUUUGAACAUAGCUCCCUUCGAUACCUUGCGCAAAAGAAGCGCCUGUUUCUCCUCUACAAGACCUAUAUAGUCAUACCCCGUGACACCCCUCAUUAUUUUUCUCUAGGAGCCGUGGAAUAGGUCGACCCCCUAUUUUUGGACCAUUUUUUUCAAAUUUUGGGCUCUAGUUUCAGAUUUUUGAACAUAGCGCCCUUCGAUACCUUGCGCAAAAGAAGCGCCUGUUUCUCCUCUACAAGACCUAUAUAGUCAUACCCCGUGACACCCCUCAUUAUUUUUCUCUAGGAGCCGUGGAAUAGGUCGACCCCCCUAUUUUGGACCAUUUUUUUCAAAUUUUGGGCUCUAGUUUCAGAUUUUUGAACAUAGCGCCCUUCGAUACCUUGCGCAAAAGAAGCGCCUGUUUCUCCUCUACAAGACCUAUAUAGUCAUACCCCGUGACACCCCUCAUUAUUUUUCUCUAGGAGCCCUGGAAUAGGUCGACCCCCCUAUUUUUGGAUUUUUUUUUCAAAUUUUGGGCUCUAGUUUCAGAUUUUUGAACAUAGCAGCCUUCGAUACCUUGCGCAAAAGAAGCGCCUGUUUCUCCUCUACAAGACCUAUAUAGUCAUACCCCGUGACACCCCUCAUUAUUUUUCUCUAGGAGCCGUGGAAUAGGUCGACCCCCUAUUUUUGGACCAUUUUUUUCAAAUUUUGGGCUCUAGUUUCAGAUUUUUGAACAUAGCGCCCUUCGAUACCUUGCGCAAAAGAAGCGCCUGUUUCUCCUCUACAAGACCUAUAUAGUCAUACCCCGUGACACCCCUCAUUAUUUUUCUCUAGGAGCCGUGGAAUAGGUCGACCCCCCUAUUUUUGGAUUUUUUUUUUUCAAAUUUUGGGCUCUAGUUUCAGAUUUUUGAACAUAGCGCCCUUCGAUACCUUGCGCAAAAGAAGCGCCUGUUUCUCCUCUACAAGACCUAUAUAGUCAUACCCCGUGACACCCCUCAUUAUUUUUCUCUAGGAGCCGUGGAAUAGGUCGACCCCCCUAUUUUUGGACCAUUUUUUUCAAAUUUUGGGCUCUAGUUUCAGAUUUUUGAACAUAGCGCCCUUCGAUACCUUGCGCAAAAGAAGCGCCUGUUUCUCCUCUACAAGACCUAUAUAGUCAUACCCCGUGACACCCCUCAUUAUUUUUCUCUAGGAGCCCUGGAAUAGGGCAACCCCCAUUUCUUCAAAUGUGUAUGUUAGUUUAAUUAAACAAUGACAUCACAGGUGCGAUAUUUUACAGGGUAGGACUACUUUUACAUACGUUCUAAAUUGAUUUGGUACAUUGGUGGCCCUACACCUACAAAUAAUCCGUUGAUAGAUGCAGAUUUACUAUGGUACUGAAUAUUAGCCUUAAAAGAGAUGUG
rnacentral:lncRNA from 1 species